rnacentral:sRNA from 1 species
GCACGAAACCUGGCUUUUAUCGCCAAAUCUUUCAGCUUAGGGAACCACUACGGUAUGUUAACUCGAUUUGCAAAAUAUUGUAUUUAGGGUUUACUCACAGGAGUACCAAGUCCUGUUGCUGGAUCCCAUCCUCUCAAGGCUGGGAACCCACUUGUGUUGCACCCCCUAUUGGAUCCCCAGGUGAUGUCAGUAAAUGCAUCACGGGCAUCGGAAUAGAGCCACGGAUUCAAGAAACCUAGUGGCGGGUGCCCUUUGUCAAGUAAAGCAUCAUUGACGAGUGCGAUUAUGGCAGCAACUGUUGGAGCUGAAGCACUGGUUCCAUCCUGGAGAUGGGCUUGACCAUUCCAAAGCACCGAGAAGUGAUAACCAAGUGCGGCAAGAUCAGGGUAUCCACGGCCUUUCCGAUUGAAAAGCCCUUGAUGUUCAUUUCCAAGAGUGUCCAGGUAAUUCUCAACUGCCUGGGUUUGAUAUCG